GACCGUGUAGCUCAGUUGGAAGAGCAUUGGGCUAGUAUUCCAAAGGUCGUAGGUUCGAAUCCCGCCGUGGCCA